rnacentral:lncRNA from 1 species
UCUAGACCAUGAACCUACUAUCAAUUUUAAAAAUUUUCUGGUCUUCCUAAAAGAAGUGUGGUGUUGUGGGCUGAUAGAUCAAUACCAUAGAUCAAACCUAUUGCCUGGUACACAUAACACACAUCUGGACCUGGUAACAUAAAAUCAUUCUGGUAACCUAAGAGUCUCUGUGCAGCACCUGCAGAAAGUUGUCGAACAUAGUGCCAAGAGGUGCACCAGGACGUGUCACUCCGGGGGACAACUAGGCCUCUGCGGUGGUGGCCUUGGGCAAUUUUAUUUUCAGCAGACUUGAAAAGGUAGAAAAUGGUAGCUGUGGAUCUGGUCCCAGAGUAUCCAAGGUAACACUGGCCAGGAAGACGGCUGGGGGAAAGAUGCACACAGUGUGGGAAAAGGAUUCGGGAGCCAAAAAUAGAUUUGGUUUUUCUGUUUUGUCUAAUUUCUAGGCAGAAACUUCUUUUGUGUGUGUGCCUGAGAAGAGAUGAACAUACAUUCCCUCCUACCAGGCUGAACGUUUGGCCAGAAAACACAACUCACCCGUUGGCGGCUGACAAUCCAGGCGUGUUCUUGUUAAGAGCUUGUUCGGAGUGGGAACACGGGUAGCUCUGGGAGCCCUGCUGACCAUUAUCUUCCCAUUCAGGUCUGUAUUGUGGAAGCUGCUCUCUAUUUUCUCAUGUAGAG